AUAUAACUUGCCAUCUUAUUGUAGGGAAUGAUAAUCAAUUUCAGAGAUGGCAAAAUAGAUUGCUUUGCUCCCUAAAGAAAGGCAGAACUUAACACUUCAUCUGAAUACCCUAAGUGAGUGAUUUGCAACAGUGAAACCGCCAUCGACCAUUAUGUUAGCCCCACUAAUGUACCUUGCUUCUUCACUUGCUAAGAAGAGCACGGCAUUAGCUACAUCAUCAGCUGUCAAUUCCAUUCCUUGCAAGUUAGCAUUUUUCCCAACAAAAGCACGAAGACCUGCCAUGGCAUCUUCAGUUCUCUCCUCCUCGGGCAAGUGAGCCAAGGCCAAGCCUGUUGGAACUGCAUAAGGAGAAACGCAGUUCACACGUAUCCCAUAUUUUCCUAGCUCAGCUGCAACAUUUCUGGUCAGUCCCAAUAAAGCAUGCUUUGAUCCUGUAUAUGCAUGGGGUCCAAGUCCCCCUAUGGUGCUGGCAACGCUGCAGAGAGAAAUAAUAGAACCCUUAUUUAGUGGGAUCAUAAUUCUUGCUGCAUGCUUCAUUCCAAGAAAUGUGCCCUUCACAUUUACAUUGAACACCUUCUCGAAAUCAGAUAAAUCUACAUUCCGGAUAUCUGGGCAUGGUGUACCUGACAACCCUGCAUUGUUGACCAUAACAUCCAAUGUUCCAAAUUUGUCUACUGUGAAAUCAAUGGCACUUUGAACCUCAUUUUCUAUUGUAACAUCACAAUGGAAGUAACAAGUGUUUGGGUCACCACCAAGAGAUUCACAGACAUUUUGCCCUAAGUUGUCUUGCAAAUCAGCUAUACAAACUUUUGCACCAUGCUUGUGGAAUAGACGAGCAAUGCUCUCUCCUAUCCCUGUGGCUCCACCAGUGACCAAUGCAACCUUUCCCAACAACCUUUGGCAA
rnacentral:misc_RNA from 1 species